rnacentral:rRNA from 1 species
AGCCCGUUAAUGGGUGAUAGCGUGCCUUUUGUAGAAUGAACCGGCGAGUUACGAUUUGUUGCAAGGUUAAGCGGAAAAAGCGGAGCCGUAGCGAAAGCGAGUCUGAAUAGGGCGCAUAAGUAACAGGUCGUAGACCCGAAACCAGGUGAUCUACCCAUGUCCAGGAUGAAGGUAAGGUAAUACUUACUGGAGGUCCGAACCCACGCACGUUGAAAAGUGCGGGGAUGAGGUGUGGGUAGCGGAGAAAUUCCAAUCGAACUUGGAGAUAGCUGGUUCUCUCCGAAAUAGCUUUAGGGCUAGCCUCGAGGUAAAGAGUCAUGGAGGUAGAGCACUGUUUGGACUAGGGGCCCUUCUCGGGUUACCGAAUUCAGAUAAACUCCGAAUGCCAUGUACUUAUACUCGGGAGUCAGACUGCGAGUGAUAAGAUCCGUAGUCGAAAGGGAAACAGCCCAGACCACCAGUUAAGGUCCCCAAAUAUAUGUUAAGUGGAAAAGGAUGUGGGGUUGCUUAGACAACCAGGAUGUUGGCUUAGAAGCAGCCACCAUUGAAAGAGUGCGUAAUAGCUCACUGGUCGAGUGACCCCGCGCCGAAAAUGUACCGGGGCUAAACAUAUUACCGAAACUGUGGAUGAACCUCUUUAGAGGUUCGUGGUAGGAGAGCGUUCUAAGGGCGGUGAAGUCAGACCGGAAGGACUGGUGGAGCGCUUAGAAGUGAGAAUGCCGGUAUGAGUAGCGAAAGAAGGGUGAGAAUCCCUUCCACCGAAUAUCUAAGGUUUCCUGAGGAAGGCUCGUCCGCUCAGGGUUAGUCGGGACCUAAGCCGAGGCCGAUAGGCGUAGGCGAUGGACAACAGGUAGAGAUUCCUGUACCAGUGCUAAUUGUUUAACCGAUGGGGUGACACAGAAGGAUAGGGAAUCGCACGAAUGGAAAUGUGCGUCCAAGCAGUGAGUGUGAG